GUCUCCAUGGCUCAGUUGGUUAGCGCGCAGAGCUGUUAAUAUCUUCCUUGCAUCCGGAUUCGGAAAGAAGGUCGAUCACACUCUGAGGUCCACAGUUCGAACCUGUGUGGGGACG